CUUCUUAUGAUGAAAUCUAUCCAGUUCUGCUACUGAAAGAGAAGCGAUGAAACCGUAGAUCUGAAGAAG
rnacentral:snoRNA from 1 species